rnacentral:lncRNA from 1 species
CGAAGACCUCCGGUAUAUCUGGGGAGGCUUUGCCUAUCUACAGGACAUGGUUGAGCAAGGAAUCAUAAGGAGCCAGACCCAGGCAGAGGUUCCCAUUGGCGUCUAUCUCCAGCAGAUGCCUUAUCCCUGCUUCGUGGAUGACUCUUUUAUGAUCGUCCUGAACCGCUGCUUUCCUAUCUUCAUGGUGCUGGCGUGGAUCUACUCCGUCUCCAUGACCGUUAAGGGCAUUGUCUUGGAGAAGGAACUGAGGCUGAAGGAGACUUUGAAGAACCAGGGUGUCUCUAAUGCUGUGAUUUGGUGUACCUGGUUCCUGGACAGCUUCUCCAUCAUGUCAAUGAGUAUCUUCCUCCUGACGCUGUUCAUCAUGACAGACAUGAGUCUCUUUUAAAGAGUGGUUCCUGGAAUUACCAUUCCAAUAUCUGGCCUACAGCUGGAAUGAGGCGAACACUGCCAGUGGUAUGAAGGGAAGAGAUCUGGACAAUUUGUCAGUCAUCCCCAUGGCCAGGAAUUAGAUUCACUAAGUAACAUUCUUCUGCCUGCUAAGAUCUUCAAGGACUCUGUUUUAAAGGAUGGAAUUUGGAAACUGACCUUUCUCAGUGAUAAGGAGUUUUUAUUGCCAAAGAUGAUGUCAUUCUGUCUUCUGCAAGUCUAUGACUCCUCUGUAAGCUAGAAUUGAAAACAAAACACUGUUUCACAAAAU